UUAAUAAUUCUCUUCUCAUAGCUAAGUGAUGAAAUCCAAACUUACAUUACGAAAUAUUCAUAUGGCUCGUGCGUUUUCCGGGAAGGGAAGUUAUUCUCGCAAGAGAGAAAUAGAUGGCGCCCGCAAGUGUUUCGAUGUGGCAAAAGAACUUUCACGUCGUGCCGGCGGCGUUCCUCCUUUCCCGAUCCACUCUUCUUCGAUAAUUUCGUUUUUGCAGACCUUCGGGGUAGAAGUGGUGAGCAAUCUCUGUGGACGUUGAGGGAUUUCCAUCGUCGUUGGGUUUAUAUCUUGAGUUCGACAUUAUGCUUCUCACAUCGUUGGUUAUUGUUGGCAAGUUGAGGUGCGGUGAAGGUCGUCCCAUCAUGGAGCAUGUGAUUGGUGGCAAGUUUAAAUUGGGAUUAGGGAGCUCUAUUUAGGUGUUAAUAUAAAAACUGGAGAGGAGGUGGUUGUUAAGCUGGGAGGUAUAUGCAUCAUUUGGAGGACUUUAGUUGAUGUUGAGAGGACAUGCAUCUCAUUGUGUUAAGUUUUCACUUGAUCAGAACUUACUAAUAAGGAAGAUUGGAAGUUGAAACUAAUGGUGGUGUGGCCUGAAAAAGAAAGGCACCCUAACAUUAUGUUUUUACUGUAUUUUUUCUAUAUUGGAUAAAGUAAUUUGCAUGAACUAUUUUUAUGAUGUUUCUCCAAAGUUAGUUUUUUUGCAUAAGUAAAUGUGUGU